rnacentral:rRNA from 1 species
CCUACGGAAGGCAGCAGUGGGGAAUAUUGGACAAUGGGGGCAACCCUGAUCCAGCCAUGCCGCGUGUGUGAAGAAGGCCCUCGGGUUGUAAAGCACUUUCAGUGAGGAAGAACGCCUGGUGGUUAAUACCCAUCAGGAAAGACAUCACUCACAGAAGAAGCACCGGCUAACUCCGUGCCAGCAGCCGCGGUAAUACGGAGGGUGCGAGCGUUAAUCGGAAUUACUGGGCGUAAAGCGCGCGUAGGUGGCUUGAUAAGCCGGUUGUGAAAGCCCCGGGCUCAACCUGGGAACGGCAUCCGGAACUGUCAAGCUAGAGUGCAGGAGAGGAAGGUAGAAUUCCCGGUGUAGCGGUGAAAUGCGUAGAGAUCGGGAGGAAUACCAGUGGCGAAGGCGGCCUUCUGGACUGACACUGACACUGAGGUGCGAAAGCGUGGGUAGCAAACAGGAUUAGAUACCCCAGUAGUC